UGAAAAUUAAGGAUCUCUUCCAAGUACUUCCUCUGCAUUAUAGACUUACUUUCAGCUUCUGCUUAGUCCUUUUCCCUCAUGUGACUGAAACUCCACAAAUCUCCACAGUUCUUGUGGAUCACUAUGUAUAUGUUGAGAGCCAGUAACAUCAGCGUUGGCAAUUAGCCUGAGAUCAGUGCCUGGAACAAAAUAAAUCCACCAAAGUUUCCCAUAUGCUGCCCAGAUGUCCUACAAAUAGAUUAUGAGAUACUGCUUGUUGCUCCUUAUAUGUCCC
rnacentral:lncRNA from 1 species